CUUUGGGUUGUGUUGGGCUUCUAAGCAGUUGGCCAAAGGAACUUUCUACUUUUUCUUGGCUGCCGCCUUCUUUGGCUUGGCUGCCUUGGGCUUGGCGGUCUUUGGUUUAGCCGCCUUGGGUUUAACUGCUUUGGCCUUCGCUGGGCUCUUGGGCGCCUUUUUUGGCUUGGCUGCUUUCGCCUUUUUCGGGCUUUUCGCUUUUUUGGCUCCAGCAGCUGCAGCCGGCUUCUUCGCCUUCUUUGGGGUCUUCUUGGCGCUCUUCUUGGGGGUGGCCGCCCCCGUCGCCUUCUUGGGCUUCUUCGCCGCUCCUGCUGGCUUCUUGGCCUUGGCCGCGCCUGCCUUUUUAGCCUUAGGCUUGGCUUCCCCAGAGGCCGCCUUCUUGUUGAGUUUGAAGGAACCCGACGCGCCGGUGCCCUUGGUCUGCACCAGGGUGCCC
rnacentral:lncRNA from 1 species